rnacentral:rRNA from 1 species
GACGAACGCUGGCGGCGUGCUUAACACAUGCAAGUCGAACGAAGUGGCGAACGGGUGAGUAACGCGUAAUCAACCUGCCCUUCAGAGGGGGACAACAGUUGGAAACGACUGCUAAUACCGCAUACUGAAGGAGGGGAUUGAGUCUGAGUAGCUAGUUGGAGUGGUACCGACCCACCAAGGCGAUGAUCAGUAGCCGGUCUGAGAGGAUGAACGGCACGAGUGGGAAUGGGACACGGCCCAGAUUGCUACGGGAGGCAGAAGUGUGGAAUCUUCCGCAAUGGACGAAAGUCUGACGGAGCAACGCCGCGUGAGUGAUGACGGCCUUCGGGUUGUAAAGCUCUGUUAAUCGGGACGCGGUACCGGAAUAGAAAGCCACGGCUAACUACGUGCCAGCAGCCGCGGUAAUAC